CUCAGUGCCAGCAGUUGUCAAGACCCUUCUAGGACAAAAUCAGAAGAACUCAUGUCAUUUCACUGACUAACAUACCCAUUUUUCUCAAACAACACUAAACAUUUAUAUAGGUAAGUAAUUAUUCUUUAUUAAUGAAUUCAUUUAUAACUAUAUAACUAUUGGCUUACAUAACUAUUAAUAACUUAAUGUUAAAUUAUUACUAUGUUUGGCUAUAUAAUUUCCUCCCAUGCAUGCCCCCUGAAGAGUGUUUAAUCCAAAAGAUUUACUUUAUGUCUUUGUUCCACUAUAUUAGAGAAAACAAUAUAUGAUGUUUUUGAGUGGCUCUUAUUUAAUAUCUUAGAUUUAAACAUAACACAUAAUGGGGAAUGCAUAAUGUUUUCUGAAAAUAUUGAGAAAUGUACUGAGAAAUGUUUAGUAACAUUAUUUUGCUACUAUAAUGUUUUUUAUAUUUUAUAAUAUUUGUGUCUAGCUUCCUAAACAAUAAUUUUAUGUAGGCAUCUUUAAUUUUGUAAACAAGUUUUAAUAGAGAAAUGUUCUAAAUAUUGUGCUUCUGACGAUCUUAGCAAGCAACCUAAAUAAUAUUUUUGUAAUAUUAGUUUGUGUGUUUGCAUGUUUAUAUGCGUGCUCAUACAUCCUACAAAGUAAUAAUAUAUUGGGUAAUCUAUGCUGUGUAAAAUCUAUAGCAUUGUGAGGAUUAAGCUAAAUUACUUUUAUUGGCAUAGCGACAUUAGCAUUGUGACAUGGUCUCAUAUUGAUUUAAGGACUCCUUUUAAAACACAAUAAAAUAAUGAGGCAUUAUCAUGAAAAAAUGUUUCCCUGUUGUCCAACUCAUUUUAGGCACCAUAAUCAUUAUAGCCAAUGAAAUGUGAAUGAAAUUCAUAUUACUUAUGUGGACGUGUAACUUCCAUGUUAGCAAUAGAUGAGAAGAAGGCCAGGGGUGCCUCAUGGAUCGUUGGUUAUGGUCAAACUGCUCAAAAACGGUUUGACCAAGAACUGGGAGAUGGUAAAAGUAGAGAUAAGCAUAUAGUAAUUAUGGUGCGAAGAUUGCCCUUUUAAAAUUACAGUUCUGCUUUAGUCCAAUUUUAGAUUUUAUUUCAUACAGUUUGGAUUGCAUGGGUGAAAAGCAGUCAUCUAUGCUUAUUUAGCAAUAAAUAAAAUGAUAUGAUAUUGUUAGGAUUUAAUUAGCACUAGCCCCAAAAAGUGACCUAUUAUUUAUGCUAACAAUGGGAAGGGAAAUAAAGAAGCAAUCCCAAGCAUUAUGACUGUUAUUUCCAUAUAAGUAUACACACAAACCUGAUUUGCAUAACAUCCUUUAUCUACUUGCUUCUCAUUAUUACUCUAAUGCAAACGGCUGUAUAGAAAUAUUAAAAAAAUAAAUAAUAAUAAUACAAUAACAUAUCUCAUGCUACCUGCUGCAACUAAGUUGAUCAUGAUUCUAUUUAUUUUUUGGUUAAAAUACUUGUUUUUUACUAUGUAACAUUCCUUCUAAUUUGUGACUGAUUUCCCCCGAAAACCUCAAUUAACUGGGAAAAAUACUUCAACAGGCUCAUGACCCAUCUCUCUUGCCAUGACAUUGACAGAAACAGUACCCAAUAUAAAAUGUUCAUAUAGUAAAAUUUCUGUGACAGUACGCAAGUAAUUUAUUUUAGUUUUGAUUUUCCUAAUGAACUAGAAUUACAUGUUAAGGCUUACCAUCCCAAAUAAUGGUCCAUAAAUAUUACUGGCACUCAGAGUAUUGACAUUUCAACCAGCAACAAUCGGGUUUUAAAAUUAUCUUGGACAUCUAGGCUUGAUAUUCUUCUGUUACCAAAUACCAAAUAAGAUGUAAGCCAAGCAACAUAGUUUUACAUCAAUGCUAUUACUGGACAGAGUUAUCCUCUGGGUAGGUUAAUAGUGAAUGAGACAGAAUUUGCUUGGCUUCUUUUCUGGUGUGACAACUGGAGGAGAUAGCUACACGUUAACAGCAAGAUUACCUUGAACAUUCACAGAUGAAUGUCAUUUGCCAUAUUACCCUGGAAAAUUACAUCAUGUUCCAUAGUUGAACACAUAUGUACUCACUACCAAAAGCAUUGCCUCUGACUUAAAGGGACACUAUAGUCCCCAAAACAACGUUAGCUUAAUGAAUCAGUUUUGGUGUAUAGAUCGUGCACCUGCAAUCUCAUUGCUCAAUUAUCUGCCAUAUAGGGGUUAAAUCACUUUGUUUAUGCAGCCCUUGUUCACGCCUAUUUGCAUGCGACUUACACAGCCUUCCUAAACACUUACAUAAUGUAUACACUUCCUCUAUAAACUCUGUUUAAUUUAGAAUUUCACACCUCCUGAUCUGUUAGUAGCUUGCUAUAUCCUGUAGAAGGCUCCUGUAUGUAAUUAAAGUUCAUUUACAGAGCAAGAGAUACAAACUUUCAAAGUAAGUUAACAUCUAAUUGAAAAUUAAACCAUUUUGUUUCCAUGCAGGCUAUGCCAGUCACAGCCAGGAGAGUUGUGGCUAGGGCUGAAAAAACAGAAACAAAAUUAUUUAACUUCUUCAUGGCAGUGAACUGAGCAGUCAGAUUUCAGAGGCAGGAUCUAUGCACAAAAACUGCUUCAAUAAGCUAAAGUUGUUUUUCUGACAAUAGUGUCCCUGUAAUGUUGUUUGAAAGGAAACUCCAAAAAUACAUAUAAUUUGUAGUUCAUAUUGUUGUUGUUGUUAUUGCCAUUUAUAUAGCACCAACAUAUUCCAUAGCGCUGUUCAAUAUUAUAAGAGGGGGGGGGGGGAUGUAACUAUAAAUAGGACAAUUACAAGAAAACUUACAGGAACAAUAGGUUGAAGAGGAUCCUGCUCAAAUGAGCUAGUCUAUAGGAGGUGGGAUAUAAGACAUGUUAGGACAGGAAAUAUCAAUCAAUUAGGGUGGGAAAGAAGCAGAGCUGGAGGAGAAAGUAUAUAUAUUUAAUUAUUACAGAAAAUAUGCGUUUAUUAACAUUUGCAUAUUUUCUAUGCCCUACAAGUUUGGAGUCAUUAGUAGAUAUGAUCUUUGAGGUUAAUGAAAACUUACCACCUUUUGCCCAGCGCUAGGCACUUUCCAGUAAAGGCAUUGUAAAGAGAUGGGUAAUUCAUGUAGAUUUAAGGUUUGUAUAUAAAAAAUGUUUUUAAAAAUAAAUAAAUAAAAAUACAAUCUCAGCCAACCACUUGAUUGGUAUUAUAUUCCACAUAAGCCUUUAAUCAAAGGGUUGCUUUACUAUUCGAUAGUAGCAUGUAUAUUUUUUGACUCCCACCAGCCACAGCCAAAAUGUCACACAACAUGAUAGAGGUCCAGCAAGGGUAGACAAAUAAUUGCACUAAUUUUGAUGGGACAUAAAUUCUAAACAUAGUGUUUGUGCUUUUUAUUUCUCUGACCUCAGUGCUGAAUUAAUGUAAGGGUAUUGGAACUGCAGCUGGGGGCCCAUAAUUGAUUGUUUAAAAAAAAUAAAAAAUAAUCUUUAUUGCUCUACAUAUAAAUAAAAAAUGUCUGGGUCACAAAAGUACAGGAAUGACAAUAAAGUGCUAUUAUCAAUAAUAUACAGUAGGUGUGGGUAAAUAAAAUAGUCCAAAUCAGUCUUAAAAAUAGUCCAAAAUUGUUUCUAAAUUAUUCUGACUAACCCUUUAAAAUGAAUUUUGCUAUGAUGGGUAGAAGAUUUCUACAGGAUUAUACCACUAAACGCUAUCAGAACUGGAGCUGGUCAUAGCUCCACAAAAUGUGAGUAAGUGAUCAUUGUUUUAUUACCUAUUAGUCAUUUAAGUUUACAUAUUGCACUAUUGCAUUUCUCGUAAUCCAUACAUUAUGUCUUGCAUAAUGGAUUACACUAAGAGAUCUUCUACCCAUCAUAUUCGCAGAUACAAGGACGAACUGCCAAACCAUGAAUUCCUAUGGCACUGCAAAAUUCAUUUUAAAGGGUUACUCAUAAUAAUUUAUAGACUACUUUGGAAAUUUUUUAAGACUGAUUUGGACUGUUUUAUUUACCCAUGCCUACUGUAUAAUAAUAAUAAUUGAUAAUAGCACUUUGUCAUUCCUGUACUUUUGGGGCACAGCCAUUUUUUCUUUGUUGUUCUUGUUGAUCUACUGAAGGGUUUAGAGGCAUCCCCUUCUUUUAGUUUGCUGCCUUAAUUUUGAUUUAAUUAGCUCUAAACCUGCUCCUUUUUUCCCUGUAUUACUCUACAUAUGCUUUUUCUCUAUGCUGUUGUGCACGGGGAAGCAUAGGCUUGCGCAGCCUAUUGCAUUAGGGUGUGCACCCUAAACCACAAACACACGCCGCAUAUAUAUAUAUACAUACACACAUAUGCAUAUAUAUACAGCCAAAAGUACAUACACACAUACGCAUAGAUAUAUAUACAUACACACAUAUACAUACACUGCUGUUAGUGUGCUGUGUGUGUAAGGGUGCUGUGUGUGUGUGUGUGUGUAAGGGUGCUGUGUGUGAGGGCGAUGUUAGUGUGAUGUGUGUGUGAGGGUGCUGGUAGUGUGCUAUGUGGGUGAGGGUAUUUGUCUGUGUGUUUGUGAGGGUGCUGUUAGUGUGCUGUGUGUGUGAGGGUGUUUGUCUGUGUGUGUUUGUUAGGGUCCUGUUAGUGUGCUGUGUGAGGGUGCUGUGUGUGUGAAGGUGCUGUUUGUGUGAUGUGUGUGUGUGUGAGGGUGCUGUUUGUGUGCUGUGUGUGAGUGUCGUGUGUUUGUGAGGGUGCUGUUAGUGUGCUGUGUGUGAGGGUGCUGUUUGUGUGUGAGUGUGAGGGUGCUGUGUGUGUGUUUGUGAGGGUGCUGUUAGUGUACUGUGUGUGUGAGGGUGCUGUGUGUGUGAGGGUGCUGUGUGUGUGGGUGCUGUAUGUGUGAGGGUGCUGUAUGUGUGAGGGUGCUGUGUGUGUGCUGUAUGUUUGGAGGGAUUGUGGGGGUGGAGGUGGGGACAGAUUAGUAAAUAUCCCCCUCCCUUCUUACCUUAUGUAGGGAGGGGGAUCCUUGCUGCCAUGUACCAUCCCUGGUGGUCCAGGGGAGAGUGAACUCUACCUGUGGGGUUCACUCUCGUGAGAUCUGAGCGUGGCCGUGGCCGAGAGGAACCCAGCGGAGCUGCUGGCUAGAGCUCCCCAGGUCCUCUCCUGCCUCUGUCCAUGCUGCUGUGGGCCGGUGAGGAAGAUCUUUGAUCUCCCCACCGGUCCAUGGAGGCUUAGAGCAGAGCCGGUGCACACUGAGCACACCCCAUGCACAUGCCUAUGCGGGGAAGUCAGUAUGGGAACUUCAGAGUAAGGCAUUGGACAAGUGAGGCCUGAGGAGAGAAAGGAUUCAGAGUUUGUCAUUAGGAGACUUGGAGAUUCAUUUUGUUACCAACUGCAAUUCGGUCAACUUCGUGCCGAUUCGGAGAUUGGCCAAAAUUCUAAUUUCCGAACCACCAGGUGCCACAAUCUUGGAACAAAUAACUUGUGCAAUACACAAUGGUAAUUGUUUUAAUUUGUGAUUCAGAGUGCUGUUUCUAGCACCAGUGUAGCAGAGCCCUAGUCCUAGCAGGGACUUCCCUGCGCUGGAUCACGCAAGAGUAAAAUCAGGAAUUACACCAAGUAAAUAUCCCACCUCCUCCCCAGCAACUGGAUGACACACAGUUCUGGGAGUACAACUGGUUAUAUUCCUGCAACACACUGCUUUUAUACAUUGCCCCUAGCAUGGGGUUUCUCAGUUACAAUUACAGGACUUUUCUUCCCAAGAGCCUCUGUGUCUGAGAGAUAAUUGUGUGAGAAAAAGCUAUAACUUAAUUAUCUCUCAGGUCCAGAAAAAUCUACAAUAUAUACAAUAUUUUAAAACAUCCCAAAAAUCCAUUUUAAUAACUUCAGCACCCCACCAAAGUCAUAUCACCGAAUAGCUUGGAUUUGAAAACAAGGCAAUGACAGGUCAUCUUUCAGGGGUUCUCAUACAAACACUGAUGAAUGGUUAUUAGAAUGCUCCCCGUGUUCGGUAGUUUAUGCCUCCCAAACACCGUUCUUCUAACUGUUUAGAAAGUUGGAUGGGCAGCGGUACCAGUUUCCCGGGCGUUUGCGGGGACGCGUAUACAAAAAUAGUUCCACGCCAUCGAUGAUCAUGUACCGCUGCCCUCGUUCAGGAGACAAAAUAGCCGCCAAUUGUUUGAACACGUGCGGCACACAAGGAAAGCACUUGAUCUAAUAACCCAUUUGUGGUUCACAGCCAGGGGUUGUCGGUGAUUAUGAAGGUGCGUACAAGGGACCACACAGCAAGUGGGUUCAGUAAAUGAAUGCGGCAUACGGACAGUCGAACAAAAGAGAAUAAAAAUAUAUUUGAGUUCUCCAUUCUACAACCAGAAAAAAUUCAAAUGGAAUGGAGAAGAGACUUUUGGGGAGUGGAAGAGGGGGGGAGGGUAGGUCAAAUAAGUAUUUUAGUUUACCAUGAUGGGCAAGAAGUCUGCCCAAUAUUGUGGGCUCUAUCUCCUGUCCAACCAAGAGGUGGAUAACACAAGUAUAUUGAUGGUUAAGGGUCAGUAAAUGUUGAUUUCAUUCACAGAUCAAGUGACUACUGACCAAUACAUGGGAAAAAAGAGGAGCAGUAAAACAAUCUAUACUUAAUCUAUAGUAGAUUACGUUUGGCCUGGGCCCUAGACAGGUUGCCUGAUUGGUGCACCCUCUUAGAGCUCUGAGCUCUGUUUCUGUGAGUGGUGUGUGGGAAUGUGGAUACUUGCUGAGGAUUGUGUGUGGAGGAGGAUGAGGGUUUUAUGGGGGAGGGGAAUGGCUAUUUAGCAUUAUGUACCUGUGUAUGUGCCUUAAAGCAUAUGUGGGUGCAUACCAUACUGACUAUGUCUAUGUCUCUGGCAUGUGUGUGCCUGCCACUAUCUUACAAGUCUCUUAAAGGCUUGUAAGAUGGACUGAGAUUAGAGCUAGAAAAAAGAGAUUGACAUAUGGUAUGAGUAAGCUUAAAACACAUCCUGUAAGUGACCCUCCAGCCCUAUAUUGACCAGAUACUAGAACCAUAGGUGAUUUUGCUGUUUUAGUGCUUUCUUGCUAUAAGACUCUAUAAGACAAAUCUAAGACAUAUUUGUCAGCACUGUUUAUGAAACUUAAUAACAGCUCAAAUAUGUCCUUUAGUUGAGUUGAAGAAAUGUUCUUACAACUGACGUUUAAUCUACAAAUAGACUGUUGUACAGUAGAAAUUCAUAUUUGCUAUUUCAGUAUUAACACAAAUUCUGAGAUAGUGCUGUGAUAUAUGUAAUACAUUUGUUCUCAAUUUUAUCCUUUGGGUUGUUUUACCUUAGAUGUUCUAUCUUUAAUUGUCUGUGGUAAAGCAGAUAACAGUAGUACGUUAGUGGCAUACAAUAUUGCCAUGUAGCUCACUUGUAAAGCUCAACAUUGUUUUAGUAUUCAUUGUGUUCUUAUACUUCAAUUACGGGAGGGAGGUAUUAAGAUCCAGAUCACUUUGCAGAGUUUAAUCCUGUUCUAUGUGCUUGCCAAGAGGUAUGGCAUGCAUGGAGCAAUGAUAUAAUUACAUCAGAUAGUAGUUGGGAAAAUAUUUUGGAAAUUCAUGGAUUAAUUGACAUGCACAGGUGCAAUGCACUCAGUCCUUGGACAUGAUAUAACUUUGCAAGUUCCUUAGCUAGCAGACGGGCCACAGGGGAGAUGAAAAGAUUUUCAGAACCAAAGCAAGAGACAUCUAAAUGGAAACUGACUGUCUUAUAACAGAUGCAGUCUAGCAAUUACAUAUUACAUAGUUACAUAGCUGAAAAGAGACUUGCGUCCGUCAAGUUCAGCCUUCCUCACAUUUGCUUUUUGCUGUUAAUCAAAAAGAAGGCAAAAAAAAAAAACAGUUUGAAGCACUUCCAAUUUUGCAACAAACUAGGGAAAAAAAUCCUUCUUGACCCCAGAAUGGCAGAUUUAUCCUUGGAUAAAGAAGCUAUUACCCUACAUUGAAAAAUGAUAUCCUUGAAUAUUCUGUUUUUCCAAGUAUGCAUCUAGUUGCUGUUUGUACAUCUGUAUGUACUCUGAUAAAACCACUUCUUCAGGCAGAGAAUUCCACCUACUUAUUGUUCUUACAGUAAAAAAACUUGUCUUUGCCUUAGAUGAAAUCUUCUUUCUUCCAGUCUAAACGCAUGACCUUGUGUCCUAUGUAAAGUCCGGUUUGUGAAUAGAUUUCCACACAGUGGUUUGUAUUGGCCCAUAUAUCUUUGUAUAAUGUUAUCAUAUCCCCUCUGAGGUAACGUUUUUCAAAACUAAAGAGGUUUAAAUUUGAUAACCUUUUUUCAUAGCGGAUAUGUUCCAUUUCUUUCAUUAAUUUUGUAGCCUGCCUCUGUACUUUUUCUAGUGCCAUAAUAUCCUUCCUUAGGACAGGUGCAGAGAAUUGCACAGCAUAUUCAAGAUGUGGUUUAACCAGUGAUUUAUAAAUAGGCAAAAUUAUAUUCUUAUCCCGAGAAUAAAUGCGCUUUUUCAUGCAUGACAAUACCUUACUGGCCUUAGCCACUGCUGACUGGCAUUGCACAUUGUUUCAUAGUUUGUUGUCUAUUACAAUUCCCAAGUCCUUUUUGUGUAUUAUCGCUAAUUCACUUCCAUUAAGGUUAUACGUUGCUUGUGCAUUCUUUACGCCGAAGUGCAUAACUUUGCAUUUUUCAACAUUAAAUUUCAUCUGCCAUUUGAGUGUCUACUACCCCAGUCUAUCUAAAUCCCUCUGCAGAAAAGUAAUAUCUUGCUCACAUUGUAUUACUUUACAGAGGUUUGUGUCAUCAGCAAACACUUAAACAUUUAUAGAAGAGAUAAAAAAUCUCACAGACAAGGAGUUAAUAGUGUGAAUAGAGGUAUUACUCUGACUGGAAAUGAUAGGGUUCCCACCAAAUCACCCCAAAGUGCAAAGUAAAGAUAAAGGAUUAGAUUAAUUCUAAUUAUUAUCCAGGAGUAAUAUAGGAAAUAUAUCUGGUAAAAUGGUAUUGAUAGUAUUGCUUAUAAGUCAAUAUUGAUAAAACACAGUAUACAUAUGUAUUAAAUCUGCAAAUAUGGGAACCAGAUUUGCACCAAGUUAUGCCAGUCUUUUUAUGGGUAAAUGGGAGGAAGAAUUUAUUUGGACCCAUAACCCGUUUGGCGCAAGUCUGGUCCUAUGGUGACGUUAUAUAGAUGACUGCAUUUUUAUCUGUAUAGGAGAUGUUCUUUGGAUUCUUUUAAGGAAUAUUUACAUUUUAAUCCUUACAAUCUUAAAUUUACCUUUAAUCAAUCAAUAGAGAAACUAGAAUUUUUAGAUUUGUAAAUUUAUAUUAAAAACAACAAGAUAGAAACUAAAACAUUCAGGAAAUCAGUUGCAUGUAACAGUUUUAUUCCACAUGACAGUUUUCACAAAUCUACCUGGCUUAAUAAUAUACCCUUUAGCCGAAGAAUUAAACUAAACUGCUCGGAACCUGCAAUCUGUACUCAACAAAUUGAAGAGAUGAAGUCCCAAUUUCAAGCUAAAGGGUAUUCUGAAGACUUACUUGACACAGCUAUCAAAAAAACUACUGGAUUAUCAUGUUCACAAAUUCUAGAAACAAAAUUCAAAGACUCCACCAAUGAUUCAAAUAUCCCAUCGUUCAUCACUAGAUUUAACAAUCAAUCUAGCCAAGUAAAAAACAUUCUACAAAAACAGUGGAACAUCCUCAAAGGUGACCCACAACUAGAUGCAAUAUUAGGGAAUACACCUUCAAUUAAUAAUUCAAAGGCACCAAAUCUAAGCACCUUACUGGCACCAACCACUAAAUAGGAGAAACCAGAUGACAGAAACUCCAUAGAGUCCAAUAAUAAGAAAGGAUUUUGGAAAUGUAAAACAUGCAUAGCAUGUAGAAAUAAUCCAAAUCAACCAACACACAGCAAUGUAUUCAAUCAUCCUCAAACAAAAGAAAUAUUCAACAUCAAAACCCAUUCAAAUUGCAAUGGGUAUUGCUGUCCCUGCAAUAAGCUUUAUAUAGGAUGAACCUAGAGAGCACUUAAAACUAGAGUGAGCGAACACAUAAGGAACAUUAAAAAAGGUGUUCAUACACACAACCUUUCAAGACACUUUGAUAUUAAACAUGGAAUAAAUACAACAGAAUUAAACUUCAUGGCAAUACAGAAAAUGAAUAUUCAAUGGAGAGGAGGAGACCUAGGAAUAGAGUUGAAUAAAGCAGAAGCUAAGUGGAUUUUCAAAUUAGACACCUUAGAACCCAAAGGGCUAAAUGUGGACUUCAAGCUUAACGCCUUUUUAUAAUACUUGCCCUUUUUAUAAUAUUAACCCAUUCAUUCUUAUCUUUUUAUUUGAAUAUACAACUUUAUAGUAUUUUUCUUCUUUUUAAUACAUAUUUAUUCCAUGAUUUUAUCUCUUUUUUUCACUAGUGUCUAAGAUUUAAAGCUCAAUCUCUUUUCACUAGCAUCUUAUUUAUUCUCUUACAAAUUAUUUAAUUUUUUUAACUCACAUCUCUGUUCUUUAAUGAUUCUGUUUUAGCCUGGAAUAACUGAAUUAAGGUUAUAUUAUGCUUCUUUUCUAUUCAUUCUUUUAUUUAUUUUUAAAUAAGUAAUGUUAAACUGUCACUUUAAUUAUAUUAACAGAACAUCCAUAAAUGUAUCCCUAUAUUGUCUGGUUGCAUAUCUAAAAUCACUAUAUAUAUGACUUUUAAACAAGCACAUUUUUAUUGUCAGAAUCUUAAGUAUCUUUGAGAAAUUCUAUGCAUUCAUACCAUUGAACUUCUGAUAUAAUGAAAUCUCUGUAAUCUGUAAACAGACUUUUAAACAAAGGCAUUUUUUUUAUACUAAUGUAUUUUCCAUCCCAUGUAUUUCCAAGUUUAUAUAUAUUUUGUAAAUUAAUCAUCAAGCCAAAAUGUAUGAUAAGUAUUUAUUACAAAAGCCUAUUACAAAAGACUAUAACAAUCAUCUCUGGCAACCAAAAGGUUAAUAAAUAACAAAGACUACAUCAGCUAUUUAAACUCAUUCAAACAGCAUCUUCUGAUGAAGUGAGUACGCUCACGAAACGCGUAAGGACUUUGAAGCAUUUAGAUUUUCGGCACCAACGACAAAGCAUUGCCGAGCUGGAAAUUGGAACGCACAGAGGGGAAAUCGGUGGGACGCACACGGUCACAAGCAGAGCCUUACCAUCAACUGGCCGGAUUGCAGAACCCUGUAUCACAUCACCCUAAAAAUAUCAUCCAGCUCUUCCAUAUCCUCUUGGCAUAAUUUGUGAGUGCAAUUUUAACUUUACUCAGUUUUCGAAUAAAAAUGUAUUCGUUUAAACAGAAAACACUAUGGGAUUUUGUUUUAUCUUCCCAUAGAUUGAAGAUACUUCCUAUAAUUUGGGGUCUCUCAUAUGAUCUUAAAGUUUACAACUGAUUACGGAGAAACAUAGUGUACAAUAUUACAAUUAUAUACCAUUUGAAGAACCAAGAUUGUUUUUGUACUAUAUUAACAUCGCUUGUUUAGCAGAUAUACCCCAGCUAACACAGUAACUGGGAUAACUGCCAUCAGUUAACAUUUCAAAAGACUAUUUUUGCAACUGUAUCUAAAUAGAUUAUACAAAGUUGCAAACUAUUGUGGACUUUAAACAGCUCUUUUUAAACACUGAAGUUUUAACACUCAGAAUCCUUUUUUGUCAACCAGUACUUUUACAUUUUGCAUAUAAUAAGGCUAUUGUAUGGUGUAAUAUUUGCAGAUUUAAUACAUAUGUAUACUGUGUUUUAGCAAUAUUGACCUAUAAGCAAUACUAUCAAUACCAUUUACCAGAUAUAUUUCCUAUAUUACUCCUGGAUAAUAAUUAGAAUUAAUCUAAUCCUUUAUCUUUAUUUUGCACUUAAAUAUGACUUUCAAUGCUUUUUUCAAGAUUAUUUAUGAAUAUGUUAAAUAGAAGGGAUCCCAGAACAGAACCCUGAGGGACACCACUUGCCACCUCUGUCCAGCUUGAAAAUUUACCAUUAAUGACAACUCUUUCUACUCUAUUUUUAAGCCAAUGUUCUACCCAAGAACAAGAAUUUUCAUCUAGACUGAUUUCUUUGAGUUUGAACACUAAUCUAUUGUGUGGAACUGUAUCAAUUGCCUUGGCAAAACCCAAAUAGAUCACAUCCACUGCAAAACCCUGAUCUAUAUUUCUACUUACUUCUUCGUAGAAUGCAAUCAAGUUAGUUUGACAUGAACUGUGCUUCAUAAAACCAUGCUGAUUUUUGCUGAACCAUGUUCUUCUCAAGGAAUUCUUGAAUAUCAUCCCUUAACUAUCUUUCAAAUACUUUCCCAACCACAGAAGUUAAACUCACAGGUCUAUAAUUUCCAGGCAAGGAUUUUGAACCCUUUUUGAAUAUAGGAAGCACAUCUGCCCUACUUCAAUCCUCCGGAACACUUCCUGAAAGAAAAUAAUCUUGAAAGAUUUCUAGAUUUCACUUAUUUCUACACUUAGUUCCUUAAGUACUCAUGGAUGAAUACCGUCAGGCCCUGGAGCUUUGUUUAUAUUAACUUUCUUUGUUUCUGCAGCACCUUGUCUUGAGUUAACCAAUUACAAUUUUUCUGCAAGUUUUUAGCAGCAAUCAUUUGCACAUCUAUUGCCAUGGGUUCUUCCUUAAUAUAUACGGAGGAGGAGAAAUAGUUAUUUAAAAAUUCUGCCUUUUCCUGGUCUUCAUUAACACCCCCAUCCCAGUAUCUAGUGUACCUACACUUUAAUUUUUUUUAGAAUUUAUGUACUUAAAAAAAGCUCUGUGGUUGGUUUUGCUCUCUUUGGCGAUCAUUUUUUUCAUUUUAAAGUUUAGGGAAUCUAAUCGCCGUUUUGUACACAUUAUUGGCUUCCUUAUAUCUUUUUGGCUUUAACUCAUGGUUGACAUACAAACAUACCCUACCACCAUUCCUGUUUUUUUCUGUCCUUCCUAAAUAGUGUGUACCAAUUUAAGUUAACUGCCCAGUCAUGUGUCUCAUCCCACCAUGUUUCAGUUAUGCCUAUUAUGUCAUAUUGUUUAGUGUAUACUAUUGCCUCUAGUUCCCCAAUUUUGUUAUUUAGGCUCCUUUAGUAAACAUACAUUUAAUAUUAUCAUGAGUCAUUUGUACUUUUUGUAAAAAAAUCAACAUUACAUACCUUAUCUAUUCUGAGCUUGCCCCUCCCCCUUAUACUGAGCUAAAGCUUAUCUCCUUUCUGUCCUAUCUCCAUUUUGUAGAUUGCUAUGACCCUCCCACCUACUACUAGUUUAAAAAUCUCAUCCAACCUUCUAGCCAUCCUAUCCCUCAGCACUGCAGACCCUCUCCCAUUUAGGUGUAACCCAUCACUGCUAUAAAGGUUGUAGCAAAGCACAAAGUCGGCCCAGUGCUCUAAAAACCCCAAACCCUCCUUCUUGCACCAAGAUUCAGCAACGCACUGACCUCUCUAAUCUCCUGCUGCUUUUCCACUGUAGCACAGGUAAUAUCUCAGAGAAUACCACCUUGGAGGUCCUUUUCUUAAGUUUGCUACCUAAUUCCCUGAAAUCAUUCUUUAGGACUUUCCAUCUUCCUCUUACUUUGUCAUUGGUACCAACAUGGGCCAUGACCACUGGGUCACCCCCAGCCCCUCCCAAUAAUCCAUCCACUCUGUCAGCAACAUGCUGGACCUGAGCACCUGCAAGACAGCAAACUGUCUGGUCAAGCCGAUCAGAGUGGCAGAUUGUCCUAUCUACCCUCUUAAUGAUAGAGUCCACUACCACCACAACCUGUCUAGCCUUCCUUACAUUUUCAUCCCCACCCGUACUAGAGGGCCUGUUCCCUCGGCUGCUAGAAGGAACAGCUUCCUCUAACACAGCUACUCCUGAGCUGAUGCUCCCAACAUCUUCACUCAAACUGGCAAAUCAGCACAAAAUCAGAACUAGCUAGCCCUUUCCUCUUCCCUCCUCCCCUGCUUCCUUGCCCCACUAUCACCCAGCUACGUCUUAUCUCAUCCCACUACACUACCUGUCCCCACUAAACUCUGCUCAGUGAGCAAACAGACUCCUCUCAAAAUUGUCGAUCUCAAAUCUGAGCUUCCAGAGAAGCCACUCACACACACUUGUCACAAAGGUAUGGACCCUGGACGGGUACAUCCAGGCAUGCAUACAUGUAACAAGAUGUGCAUUCAGUCAAACCAGCAAUCUUGCUAACACUCAUUUCCCCAGAUACAGAGCAGUAAAACAAUUACCUUGCUAGUUUAAACCCCUUGUUUGUUUGUUUUUUGUUUUAACGCCUGGUUGUCCAAAUCCUACUUGAAAGAGUUUGCUUUCAAGCAAUGUGAGCAAGUUCAGUGAGUUAGGGGUGUGCUUAUAUGGGAAUACAAAUCCCACACAGGUGGCAAUUAAGGACCACUCCCCCAAUUAAUCAAGUAGCAGCAUAAAGGGGGGGAAAAAACAGAACACAGAAAUAAUAAAAAAAAUAAAAAACAAACCACUCUCCACAGUAUACAAACCACUCUCCAAUGAACUACUAACUACUAACUCCUACUUGCAAUAACCCAUCUGAUAAUACAAUUGACGUCAAUCACAUUGUCAACAUACAUUAUGGCUCAUACUGCAACCCACAUUUCACUGUGUAUGGAAGUAUUGGUAUGUGUGAGACAAAGGCUGAAAAAUAUGAUAAAUAACCCACUAGUUAGACUGUAAAGAAAAAGGGAAUGAAUAGGCUUACAGUGCAUUCCAAUGUUUGUAAACAUACUUGUCAUUUCCCCCUCUUCUCUUCAUGCAGCACUGUGACAGAGAUCUUUAUUGUGGUAAAGUAAGAGCAACUCUCACCCACUUCUACUUGUUGUGAUAAUAAAGGGAUCUAGUUGCAGUAUAUUGUCAUACAUUGAGUAAGUCUGUCAUCGUUACCUCAUUUUUGACCUAUUUAAUGACCAUUAUUAUUAAAUUAACCAUUUUACAGGGAACAUUUACCCUUCUAGGGCUCUUUACAUUUCAGGCUUUUAAUGUGGCACCUGGGUCAAGGAGGGUGCAAAACCUAGGGGAUUUGGCCAAAGCCCCUAAUCUAGAUAUGUAUAGAGAACAGAAGGAGUGCCUUUAUCAGAGCAUACAUCAUAUUUAUUGGUCCUGCUGUGACAAAUACAUACAGCCUACAAAAUACAACUCACUCAACUUCAAACCAGCUUUAAAGCCCAUAAUGCUUUUAAAAUAAUUGUAAUUAAAAGGUUAUUUUCAAGCACCAUGACCACUUCAGUGAUUGGAAGUGGUCUUGGUGCCUGGAGUCUGUAUGUGCAGGGUUUUGCUUUGAAAUGCUGUACAUACAAAAAUUAACUCAUUAGCCGCUGGAUGUGCAACUCCACACAGGACUCCAUUUGCCAGGUUCUACUCUAAAGUAUACAUAAUGGUAAACUAUAACUAAUGGGAAAAUAAUGACAUCAAGAAACCCCACAAAAUACAUAUAAUCAGACACUGCAGUGGUUUAUAUAUUAAUAUCUCCAGAACCUUGUGUUGACAUUAUUUUUUCUUAAUACUAACAUCUCCAUUAUGUAUUUUCUAUGUAUCACUCAAUCAUGCAAUGUUAAUAAGGAAAUGAAAGAGCAAGCAUUGAUGCAAUUCAGAAGUAGUGCAAGUAAUUUUAUAUUGUCAUAGAGCAAGGACCCUGUUUGUGCAGCUUUGAAACACUUAGAUAGCUAAUGUUGCUGCCAAAGGUAUAACUCCACCUCCAACAUCUCAUUAACAAAGCCCGGAAACCACUGGGUCAGUUUUGUACUUUUUCCUUGCACAUGCAGUUAUUCAUUGGUUGAGAACACUCAGACGUCACUCUCAGCCAAUGAAUAAAUGGCGAGAUCUACAUCUGGCUUCUGCAGCUCUGAAAAAAUCCAGAUGUCGUGCUGCUGGCAUUGAGAGAGACACGGCACCUGUAGAGACUUAGGUAUGAGGAAAACUGUUUCAAAAUGGUUUGUUCCACUUCUGGGGAAAGCCAGUGUACUCCUCACAUCAUUAUCAGUACAGUGGUCUGUAAUGCUAAUGAUGCUCUGAGUAACCCUUUAACUUCACAAAACCCUCAUAAAUAUGUUUUAUAUAUAUAUAUAUAUAUAUAUAUAUAUAUAUAUAAAACUUGAAUGUUAUUUUUAUUUGGGAAUAAAAGGGUACAGAAAGCAAAAAAGGAGGCCAGGCAAUGUGUACAUGAAGGGUAUGGGUUGGAUUUUACUGCUUUUGGAAGAUUUGUAAAAUAAAAACUGCUUCACUAACCUGAAAUUGUCUGGAAAUGUUAAAUUUUAAGACAAAAUCUUGAUGAUAAUACAUGAUAUUGACAGAGAAAGAUUGGAAAAACCUAAACAUUUCAGAAAGUGCUUUAAUUCACCUGAAUUUGGGGUUGCUGAAAUUUCUUAAUAAACAUCAACACUCUGACUGUGUAAUUUGAGGGUGGUGACAAAACAUUUUAUUUUUACCUUUUAAUAUAUUGAAGUUUAUAAUAAUGUUUAUGUUGUUGGAAUGUACACAAGUAUAUUUGUUUGAUGUUCUUCUUUCACCUUAUCAUAUUUGUUUACAUUUCUUUAUAUUUUGCAUUUAUUUUGUUAACAUUUUUUUAAUAAAAAAAGAAAAACAUUUGCGCAAGGUUCUUACAGUAUAAAUUUUUAAAAGCAAAAUAAUUUAAAAUACAGUUGUACAAGUGGCUUCUUACAUGAAGUAUGCAGCUGAUGGAGUUGACAAAUGAGAUUUGUAAAUGUGAGCGUAACUGUAUAAUCGCGUUGUGCAAUAAUAGUCAUAAAUAUAUUAAUGAGUAUGACAUGAAGAUAUGUCAGUCACAAUUCUGCUCCAUGCAGUCAGUCAAGGCCAAAACUGUUCUUCAGUUUUACGAUCUGACUGCAAUGAGUGAGAUGAUUGUUUUACCAGGUCUGCCUAUUUAUAAAGCUGAGGUUGAAUGUCUGCACAUAAAGGACAUAAUAAGUCAAAUGGUUAUGACCCACAUUAUUAUUUUAAGCUACAGCACCAAUUAGUUACUAAACAAUAAGAAGCAUGUAGUAUCCAUUAUCAUGAACAGAUGUUCCUGUGGGAUGCAUAUUAUAUAAAUAAAUAAGAAAAACCAUGCAAAAAACAUUGCCAUUUUUUUAAAUUACCCAUGGGACACUAAAAAAAAAUCAAACUCAAUACAUAAAUAGAAAGAGUCUGUGGUAUAUACGCAGUGUUGUUACUGAAAAAUUAUUGUUAUUUGAAAAAAACAACAUACAAAAAGUAGGUUCUAAAGGAAAUAGGUAAGUUUAUUUAAAAAAAAAAAAAAAGACCCGACAGUACAGGUAAGCUUCACUUAUGCAGCAAACUGCCACGCACACACUGAGGGAAGAAGUUUGCGGUUUCCAAACUAUUUGCAGUGGCACAGAAACACACUGCAGAUCUAAUAAUCCAUCUUUUACUAGAAAUAAAAUAAAUCACAAAUCAUCAAGCUCUGAAAGACACGCACACAGGGAAGCCCACAAUAGUGAAACACCGUUUAUAGCAAAAAAAACCCAACAUUUAAAAACAUAUAUAUGCUCACAGUUUGCAGUGCUAAACACAGCAUUGCAUUUUUUGCUGUUUGUGUUCAACUGCAAGGGCCAUCGGCGCAGGACCCAUUUUACUAAUUUAUUGCACCAACACAUAAAAUAUACUGUUUUAUAAAGGACAAAAAGGUCUUUAAUUUGAUGUAACAUAUACAUAUAUAAAUGCUCAUUUAUACUAAAAAAAUAUUUUUAAAAAUAAAAAAAGGAAAAUAUAUAAUUCUUUUACAGUUUGUGCAAUAAUAAUGUGUGCAUAAUUAGUACAGGUUAAAGAAAGUAAUUAAAAAUAAAUUAAUUUAGUUGUUCUGAUUUGCAGAAUAUAUAAUGCGUCUAGGAUUUGAAGUUUUUUUUGGUAGUGACAGGUCACAAAACACAAGGAGUAAAAUAAACUUUUAAUGUUGAGCGAUUUUAGAAUUUGGUAUGUUUGUCUUGUAAGCUUAAUAGCCAUAAAACAAAAACAAAAUUGCCACAUAAAAGUAUAUAUUUGUAUAAAGUAGACAUAACAGGCUAUUUACCUGAGGUUAUUUUGACACUUUUUAUGUAGCCAUUUCACCGCCAAUCUCUGCUAAAUAUUGGAUUAAAAUUGGGAUUUUUAUUGUUUUUGACACAAAAAUUUAUAACAAAGAUCUUCUCAUGUGUAUUUCGUAAAGUUGGUGUGUACUAUUCCUGUACAACUUUAUUUUGUGUUUAGCUACAUCUUCUGAGUACAACGAUACCCCCAUUGUAUGUCUUUGGCAAUAUUUUAUGAAGCUACAGUGCCAUAUAGGAGACCUGUCCAUUUCAGUAUUUACAAUAGAAUUUUAAGAGAUGGAUUUAAUGGGCCUAUGUUUCAAUUCGGGGUAUUAUAGCAAUUUGACUGUUCAAAAAAAAACCACAAAGGCCUACCAUUUGUAAAAGUAGACACUCCAGGGUAUCUCAUAUGGUGCAUAUUGUGCCUUAACAUGCCCCCAUUUUUUUUCACCAAUAUAUGCCGAAGUAUGUGGUAAAAAAUAAUUUUGGGCAUUUUUUACAUACAUAUUACAUUUUUGCUGGGCAUUUUGUAUAUUUGAUAUGUGCCACUAAGUUCAAACCCUCCAAAUUAUGCUCAGCUAAGACUUCUGAGUAAAAUGAUACCCCCAAUGAAUGUCUUUGGCACUAUUUUGUGAAUCUACAGUGCCAUAUAGGAGACCUGCCCAUUUCAGUAUUUACAGUAGAAUUUUGAGAGACGGAUUUGAUGGACCUAUGCUUCAAUUUGGGGUAUUAUAGCAGUUUGACUGCUCAAACAAAACUCGCAAAGGCCUACCAUUUGUAAAAGUAGACACUCCAGGGUAUCUCAUAUGGUGCAUAUUGUGCCUUAACAUGCCCCGAUUUUUUUUCACCAAUAUAUGUCAAAGUAUGUGGUAAAAAAUAAUUUUGGCAUUUUUUACAUACGUAUUACAUUUUUGCUGGGCAUUUUGUAUAUUUGAUAUGUGCCACUAAGUUCAAAGCCCCACAAAUAUGCUUAACUAAGUCUUCUGAGUAAAAUGACACCCCCAAUGAAUAUCUUUUCCACUAUUUCGUGAAAGUGCAGUGCCAUAUAGGAGACCUGUCCAUUUCAGUAUUUACAGUAGAAUUUCUAGAGACGGAUUUGAUGGGCCUAUGUUUCAAUUUGGGGUAUUAUAGCAGUUUGACUGUUCAAGAUAAAAUCACAAAGGCCUACCAUUUGUAAAAGUAGACACUCCAGGGUAUCUCACAUGGUGCAGAUUGUGCCUUAAUAUGCACCCAACCUUUCACCAAUAUAUGUCAAAGUAUGUGGUAAAAAAUAAUUUUUGGCAUUUUUACAUACGGAGUACAUUUUUGCUGGGCAUUUUGUAUAUUUGAUAAUUGCCACUAAGAUCGAAGCCCCAAAAUUAUUCUCAGCUAAGUCUUCUGAGUAACAUGAUACCCCAAUGAAUGUCUUUGGAACUAUUUUGUGAAGCUACAGUGCAAUAAAAGAGACCUGUCCAUUUCAGUAUUUACAGUAGAAUUUUGCGAGACGGAUUUGAUGGGCCUAUGUUUCAAUUUCAGGUAUUACAGCAGUUUACUGUUAAAAAAAAAACCCCACAAAAGCCUACCAUUUGUAAAAGUUGACACCCCAGGGUAUCUCAUAUGGUGCAAAUUGUGCCUUAAGAUGCCCCCAUUUUUUCACCAAUAUAUGUCAAGGUAUAUUGUAAAAAAUAAUUUUUGCAUUAUUUACAUACAUUUUAAAUUUUUGCUGGGCAUUUUGUAUAUUUGAUAUGUGCCUACCAUUUGUUAAGUUGACACCCUAGGGUAUUUCAAAAGGCAUAUUUUAAACUUUUAAAUGUUUUUGCUAGCUUUACCAAGUCUAGUAGCAAUUAGCAUUUUUUUCUGUCUUUUUGACACACACUUGGAGAUGUUACUGUAUAUUUUGCAAUCCUUAUGUGUGCUACAGCAGUAUAACACCUAAUAUGUUACUCAGCUAUGUCGUCUUAGUACAACAAUACCCCCAUGUGUACCUUUUUCAGGACAAUGUGGAUGUUGAAGGGGCACAUCGGAGACCAAGCCAAAUCAGUUUUUACCAAACUUUGAAUUAUGAUGCUGGGCCCAUGUGCAAUUUUCAAGCAUCUUAGCAGGUUUUUAAUUCAAAAUACAAUUUUUUAAAGUAGAUGCCCCAGGGUAUUUCAAAAGGCAUAGUUUAAACCUUAGCGUAGGAUCAUUUUUUUCUAGUUUUUACCCAGUCUAGUAGCAAUUAGCAUUUUUUCUGCCUUUUUGACACACAAUUGGAGAUGUUACAGUACAUUUUUAAAUCCUUAUGUGUACUAUGACAGUAUAACACCUAAUAUGUUGCUCAGCUAUGUCAUCUUAGUACAACAAUACCUCCAUGUGUACCUUUUUUAGGGAUAUGUGGAUGUUGAAGGGGCACAUUUGAGACACCGAUUUCAUAUUUUUCAAAAGUGGAUGCUGGGCCUAAGUCUCAUUUUAGCAGCUCAUGAUUGUAAAUUACCUCUCAAAGGCCACAUCUAUUUUUAAAUAUAAGCCACUCAUCAAUUCAAAUUAUGAACAAGUGCAUACUAUUUGCUGUGAAAGGAGGAAUAUUUGGUGUAAACUUAUCAGGGGGUAGUACCCAGUCUUGGUGUCACGGCGCAACACUAUCACGGAUUGCGGAACCAAAACACAGACAGACCACAAAGAGAGAGUACACAGAGAAAGAAACUUGUAAUACCAGUCCUUAGAAUGGCUAUACAAGCAGAGAAUAGUAAAGUUACGAGUCAUGGUCAAAGGAGUAAAGAUAAACAGAACAGUGAUAGGCCAAGCCGAGGUCAAGGAUCAGAGAAGACAGGAUAAACAGAGACAAAGCCAAGAUUCGGUAACCAAACAAUCAGACAGAUGACUAAAAUCACACCGGUUUACUUAUUCGGCCUAGGUAUGGAAAAUUAUAUAUACGUAGGCUGGGCUGAGAGGGGCAAUCAGGGCAGUAAUAACUGGUCUCAGCUCUUACACUCUUUUUGUAAUACACCCUGUACCUUCUGGGGUGGGGGGAGGUUCUGUUUGGGAGUUGAUAGAAUCCUGAAGCAGAAGUGACCUGCCACCUUUCUUCUGCUAGGCUCCACUGAUGGUCCACCUCUGUGGCACUCAAGCAGCCCAGAAAUGAGCUAAAUCUGAAAUGAAGGCAAUGUGCCUCUCAGCUCAGCAUUUGCCUUUUUGAAAAAUUACAAAGGCAUUGUGGAUUGCCGUCUGCAUUAUAUAUAUGCCCACUUUAUUAUACCAUGCCCUGGUCUUUCGCAUGAUCAAAUAUGACUGCAUCAGUUGAUCAGACAGGUCAACUCCCCCCAUAUGCUGAUUGUAAUGUUUAUGCAGACUGGCACCCAUUUAAUUUCCCCUCUGCCAUGAACUGCAACCUUGCAAGUGCGUUCACCAUGGAUGGUGGUUAGGAUGAACACUUUUUAUCUCAGUACAAAGUACUGCGAUUUUUUUUCUGCUAGAGCCUUUGGGAAACUUGUGCAACUCUUCCGAAUAGUGCCACAGGCCACCGUCUAAAAGCAGUACAUAAUUUUUAGAAGUGGGAUACUAUUGUAAAAAUUAUCGAUACACAAGUGAUAUCCCUUGUUUAGUAAUGGCAUUAUUAGGUCCCAUACAAUUUUCUAUAUAUCUGGACAACCUGAGGUGGCUAUCCCUUCCUUUGUAUACACGGAAGGUAUACACAUAGCCACUGCCACUUUCACACAAUUUAUAAAAUUUCAUCCCAUAUCGGGAUCUUUUGUAUGGGAUGUACUGUUUAAACUCUAGUCUUCCCUUAAACUUCAUGAGGGAUUUGUCAAUAGAAAUAUUUUUUGGGGGGGGUAUGGUGGCACAUUUUUCAUUAAAGUGGGCAAUUAGAGGGCAUAUUUUAUAUAUAACAUCAUACUGUGGAUGACCUUGGCCAUAAGAGACUCUUGAUUGUGCUUCCUGGCCAUAAGAGACUCUUGAUCUCCCCAAAAAUAUCAUCCCCCAUGAACAGCUGCAUACAAUCCAGCGCAUUAUAGCCACACAUGUCAGCCUGUAUGCCAGGAUUGGCAGUGAACUCUGGGAUGUCUAGUGAAAAAUUAUUAGCGAGUACCCAGUCAUCUGCGACAUGUUCAACAUCAGGGGAAUCAGCGAUUUCUCCUGAUGGUCCUGCAGUGUCUGUCACAUAGUCCCUGUCCCCUGCGUCACUCCCUCCUUCAUUCUCUGAGGCAGUGUCUGUCGCCUCUGAGUCAUCCACUAAAGAGGGCAUAAGCCUCCUCUGCACUAUACUUCCUAAGCAUUCUGUACCAUGUUAAUAAACUUUAACUAAAUAACAAAACUUUAAUUUUUGUAACUUUUUUUCCUUUCUACCCUUAACUAGCUUAUCACUAAAUUCCCCAAUUUCCACUAAAUUCCACCCACCCCAACUAACUAAUUCAUAAAUUAAUAAAAUAAUAUAUUAAACUUUAACCCCUUAAAAAAUCUAAUUUAACCCCUGAGGGUAAAAAAAAAAAUCUAUAUCACAGUAAAGUACUGGGAUCUCUAUUUUGAUCACUGCUGGCAGUGAUCAAUCAUCAGGAAAAGGGUUAAUUUAAAAAAAAAAAACAGGGUAAAGGGGAUUUGGAACCUCUUCAGACAAUUUAUUCACUUAAGGGACACAGUAUAACAAUGAUCUGUCUCUCUCCACUUCAAAAACCCACAAGAGGUGGAGGGAGGCAGUUCUGACAUCCCAGCAGCAUUGUGACCGCUGGCUGUGACAUCACAAUUUGCUGUUGCUGGUCUGCCCCUUGAAGCACCCAGCAACAGCGUUAACCCAGCUACCGCAGCAAUCUGGGGUUAAUUAUAGCACAAGGGUGGAACAGAUUCUACCGAUGAUGCAUUAGCCCACGGAGCUAUCUCCCUGGCAUUAUUUAAAGGACACUAUAGACACAGGGAUGUUUUAGCCAUGAGGCAAAUAAGGCAUUUGCCUUGGGCGGCAUUUUUAAGGGGGCAGCAAAAAAAGCAGCCCCCAAAUGCCCAGGCAAAUACCUUGUUAGCCUUGCGGCUAACAGUCCGGGCGGGCAGGUAGGAAGGCAAUGCGGGCGGGCGGCGCUGGCGAGGGAGCAUUUUCCCCUGAGCUCUCUGCUCUGACGUCAUAUUCCGGUGCCCAGCAUCACUCUGCGGGCGGCGCACGAGGGAGCUGAGCAGAGAGCUCAGGGGAAGUGCUCCCUCGCCAGCAGGGACCCCCCCCCAGCAUUCCCAAAGGUAAGGAGGCUGGGGGUUAAAUAAAAAAAAGUGAGUGUGUUAAUGUGAGUGAGUGUCUGUGUGUGUCUGUUAGUGUGUGUGUCUGACUGUGUGUGUCUGUUAGUGUGUGUGUGUCUGUGUGUGUGAGACUGAGUGUGUCUGACUGUGUGUCUGUUAGUGUGUGUAUCUGUUAGUGAGUGUGUGUGUCUGUUAGUGAGUGUCUGUUAGUGUAUGUCUGUUAGUGUGUGUGCGUCUGUUAGUGUGUGUGUCUGACUGUUUGUGUCUGUUAGUGUGUGUGUGUCUGACUGUGUGUGUCUGUUAGUGUGCGUGUCUGACUGUGUCUGUUAGUGUGUGUGUGUUAGUGUGUGUGUGUUAGUGAGUGUGCGUGUGUCUGUUAGUGUGUGUGUGUCUGACUGUGUAUGUCUGUUAGUGUGUGUGUGUGUGUGUCUGUUGGUGUGUGUGUGUCUGACUGUGUAUCUGUUAGUGUGUGUGUGUUAGUGAGUGUGUGUGUGUCUGUUAGUGUGUGUAUCUCACUGUGUGUGUCUGUUAGUGUGUGUGUGUCUGACUGUGUGUGUCUGACUGUGUGUGUGUUUCUGUUAGCUAGUGUAUGCGUAUCCGUCAGUGAAUGUGUGUGUGUGUAUAUUUAGAAGGCGGGGCAGGGGGGAAGGGUUGGGUGAGGGUGGCGUGCACAAAACCAAGAUACACCACUGUAUAGACAGUAACACAACCAUAACCUAAAUGAAUCUGUUAUGGUGCCAGGAGGCCCAAAAGACACUCUUACUUAAAGGAGUUAAACAGUUUUUGAACAGUUUAACACGACAGAUGCCUCAAGAGUGAUGUCCACUAGCUCCCAGGCAGCAUCACUACAUAAUUUCUCAGUCUCAGCCAAUCAGUGACUCCCCAUUCACAAAACUGGCUUUGAAAAGGUACAUUUCUUUACAAGUCAGUUUUGUAAAUUGGUAGCGGUUAAUUGGCUGACAGCAUCACCCUGCCCAGUACCACUCUGAAAAUUCAGAAUAUGGAUGUCAUCAGGGGCCUCCUGGCACAAAAUAAAAGUAACAUUUUAUUGCUAAACUUACCCUUUAUUAUAUUAUAGAUCCUAAUAAGUCUUAACGAUUUAGACAGAAGCAAACAUAGACACACUGAUCAGUCACAACUUUAAAACCACCUGCCUAAUAUUGUGUAGGUUCCCCUCAUCCUGCUAAAACAUCUCUGAUGUGUCGAGGCAUGGACUUCACAAGACCCCUAAAAGUGUACGGUGGUAUCUGGCAUUAAUACAUUAUCAGCAGAUCCUUUAAAUUUGCAAGGUGGGGCCUCCAUGGAUCGACUUGUUGUUCCAGCACAUCCCACAGAUGCUCAAUUGGAUUGAGACCUGGGAAAUUUUAAAAACUGUGAACUCUUUAAAAACUGUGAACCUCAAAUCACUCAAAUUUCAUGUUCCUCAAAAUUUUUGCAGUGUGGCAGGUUGUAUUAUCCUGUUGAAAGAAGAAACUGCCAUCAGGGAACACCAUUGCCAUGAAGGGGUGCACGUGGUCUGCAACAAUCUCUA